AGUGAACGCUGGCGGUAGGCCUAACACAUGCAAGUCGAACGGCAGCACAGUAAGAGCUUGCUCUUACGGGUGGCGAGUGGCGGACGGGUGAGGAAUACAUCGGAAUCUACUUUUUCGUGGGGGAUAACGUAGGGAAACUUACGCUAAUACCGCAUACGACAUACGGGUGAAAGCAGGGGAUCUUCGUACCUUGCGCGAUUGAAUGAGCCGAUGUCGGAUUAGCUAGUUGGCGGGGUAAAGGCCCACCAAGGCGACGAUCCGUAGCUGGUCUGAGAGGAUGAUCAGCCACACUGGAACUGAGACACGGUCCAGACUCCUACGGGAGGAAGCAGUGGGGAAUAUUGGACAAUGGGCGCAAGCCUGAUCCAGCCAGACCGCGUGGGUGAAGAAGGCCUUCGGGUGGUAAAGCCCUUUUGUUGGGAAAGAAAAGCAGCAGGUUAAUACCCCGCUGUUCUGACGGUACCCAAAGAAUAAGCACCGGCUAACUUCGUG
rnacentral:rRNA from 1 species